rnacentral:precursor_RNA from 16 species
CAAACUUUCCAAUCAUUUGGGCUUAAUUUGCUUGGCACUAGUGGAAUUCUUUGUUCAGGAAACAGUGCAUGGAGCCAUUGAGUCAAAGAAUUCCCCAGUACCAAGCAAAUUGACUCCAUAUUUCAUCUUUUAUCAUG